AUAAAAGCAGGGACCUGUUUUCCUUAUAGACAGGCCUCUCGUAAACUUUAGGAAAAUCACGUGCAUUGUUAUUGGGUGAACCUUUGUAGACUUUGUCUAUGACAAAAGGUUCAGUAAACAAUGAAACAUAA